rnacentral:misc_RNA from 1 species
UUUCCGUAGGUGAACCUGCGGAAGGAUCAUUAAAAAAAGAGAAACGUCCCGUUCUUUUUCAUAAGAAUGGGUUCUAUUCCCUUAAACCGUGUCUACAUACCUUUGUUGCUUUGGCAGGCCGCCUUCGGGCGUCGGCUCCGGCUGAUAGUGCCUGCCAGAGGACCCAAACUCUAUGUUUAGUGAUGUCUGAGUACUAUAUAAUAUUUAAAACUUUCAACAACGGACCUCUUGGUUCUG